rnacentral:rRNA from 1 species
GACGAACGCUGGCGGCGUGCUUAACACAUGCAAGUCGUACGGUAAGGCCCUUCUUUUGUUGGAUGCUCGAGUGGCGAACGGGUGAGUAACACGUGAGUUACCUGCCCUUUACUUUUGGAUAACUUCAGGUAACUGUGGCUCAUACCGGAUAGUCGUUCCGGCUGCAUGGUGGUGGUUGGCUAGUUUCGUCGGUUGGGGAUGCACUCGCGGCUUAGCAGCUUGUUGGUGGGGUAGUGGCUUACCAAGGCUUUGAUGGGUAGCCGGCCUGAGAGGGUGACCGGCCAAAUUGGGACUGGGAAAGGGCCCGAACUCCUACGGGAGGAAGAAGGGGGGAAUAUUGAAAAAGGGGGGGAAGCCGGAGGAAGAAACGCGGCGGGCGGGAUGACGGCCUUCGGGUGGUAAACCGCUUUAGCCUGUGACGAAGCGUGAGUGACGGUAAUGGGUAAAGAAGCACCGGCUAACUACGUG